UACAGAGGUGGCAAGCGUUGUUCGGAAUUACUGGGCGUAAAGAGCUCGUAGGUGGUUUGUCGCGUUGUCCGUGAAAACUCACAGCUUAACUGUGGGCGUGCGGGCGAUACGGGCAGACUGGAGUACUGCAGGGGAGACUGGAAUUCCUGGUGUAGCGGUGGAAUGCGCAGAUAUCAGGAGGAACACCGGUGGCGAAGGCGGGUCUCUGGGCAGUAACUGACGCUGAGGAGCGAAAGCGUGGGGAGCGAACAGG
rnacentral:rRNA from 1 species